rnacentral:rRNA from 1 species
UACGAAGGGGGCUAGCGUUGUUCGGAAUUACUGGGCGUAAAGGGCGCGCAGGCGGCCGCUCAAGUCAGAUGUGAAAGCCCCGGGCUCAACCUGGGAACUGCAUUUGAUACUGAGUGGCUAGGGUUCGGGAGAGGAGAGUGGAAUUCCCAGUGUAGAGGUGAAAUUCGUAGAUAUUGGGAAGAACACCGGUGGCGAAGGCGGCUCUCUGGACCGAUACUGACGCUGAGGCGCGAAAGCGUGGGGAGCAAACAGG